AUUGAAGUGGCAGAAUUAAGUGCGUUAGUUUUAAGUGUUAAAUAUAGUAAUAUUAUUACUCUUUAGUA
rnacentral:tRNA from 1 species